CAGGUUCUUUGAAUCUGAGCCGUGUUGAAACUUUCAGAUUUUGGUCCUAUAUUUAUGUGGAUUAAAGAAUCUAAAAUAACCAAGAACAUUAACAGUAUUAACCACCUGCUGAUGUUCUUGGAAAAGGAAAGACAGAAAGAGUUUUAGAAAUCAGCAACACUUUUAUUUUAUUUUAUGUUUGCUUAUGAUUUCAAUGCUCUCGUUU
rnacentral:lncRNA from 1 species